UACAGAGGGGGCAAGCGUUGUUCGGAAUUACUGGGCGUAAAGGGCGCGUAGGCGCCUUCUAAGUCGAACGUGAAAUCCCCGGGCUCAACCCGGGAACUGCGUCCGAUACUGGAAGGCUUGAAUCCGGGAGAGGGAUGCGGAAUUCCAGGUGUAGCGGUGAAAUGCGUAGAUAUCGAGAGGAACACCUGCGGCGAAGGCGGGUUGCUGGGCUGACACUGACGCUGAGGCGCGAAAGCUAGGGGAGCGAACGGG
rnacentral:rRNA from 1 species